rnacentral:lncRNA from 1 species
UGGACUGUGAGCCAGGUGUGCUGCUCUUCUCAUGCAGACGGACAAGAGGACACACCCUUCUGUAGACCGUGAGAAGCUCUGCUUGA